GCUUGCUUCCAGGCGUCGAGCGGCGGACGGGUGAGUAAUGCAUAGGAAUCUGCCCGGUAGUGGGGGAUAACCUGAGGAAACUCAGGCUAAUACCGCAUACGCCCCAAGGGGGAAAGCAGGGGAUCUUCGGACCUUGCGCUAUCGGAUGAGCCUAUGUCGGAUUAGCUUGUUGGUGAGGUAAUGGCUCACCAAGGCCGCGAUCCGUAGCUGGUCUGAGAGGAUGAUCAGCCACAUCGGGACUGAGACACGGCCCGAACUCCUACGGGAGGCAGCAGUGGGGAAUAUUGGACAAUGGGCGAAAGCCUGAUCCAGCCAUGCCGCGUGUGUGAAGAAGGCCCUCGGGUUGUAAAGCACUUUCAGUGAGGAAGAAGGCUUGUGGGCUAAUACCCCGCAAGAAGGACAUCACUCACAGAAGAAGCACCGGCUAACUCCGUGCCAGCAGCCGCGGUAAUACGGAGGGUGCGAGCGUUAAUCGGAAUUACUGGGCGUAAAGCGCGCGUAGGC
rnacentral:rRNA from 1 species